rnacentral:tRNA from 1 species
UGGCUCAGAGGUUAAAGCGUCUGCCUAGAAUUCAGGAGACCCAGGUUCGAUCCCUGG